AUUGAACGCUGGCGGCAGGCCUAACACAUGCAAGUCGAGCGGAUGAAGGGAGCUUGCUCCUGGAUUCAGCGGCGGACGGGUGAGUAAUGCCUAGGAAUCUGCCUGGUAGUGGGGGAUAACGUCCGGAAACGGGCGCUAAUACCGCAUACGUCCUGAGGGAGAAAGUGGGGGAUCUUCGGACCUCACGCUAUCAGAUGAGCCUAGGUCGGAUUAGCUAGUUGGUGGGGUAAAGGCCUACCAAGGCGACGAUCCGUAACUGGUCUGAGAGGAUAAUCAGUCACACUGGAACUGAGACACGGUCCAGACUCCUACGGGAGACAGCAGUGGGGAAUAUUGGACAAUGGGCGAAAGCCUGAUCCAGCCAUGCCGCGUGUGUGAAGAAGGUCUUCGGAUUGUAAAGCACUUUAAGUUGGGAGGAAGGGCAGUAAGUUAAUACCUUGCUGUUUUGACGUUACCAACAGAAUAAGCACCGGCUAACUUCGUG
rnacentral:rRNA from 1 species